rnacentral:rRNA from 1 species
AGUAACACGUAGGUAACCUGCCCGUGUGCCCGGGAUAACUUCUGGAAACGGAUGCUAAAACCGGAUAGGUAGCAGACAAGCAUUUGACUGCUAUUAAAGUGGCUAAGGCCAUGAACAUGGAUGGACCUGCGGUGCAUUAGCUAGUUGGUGAGGUAACGGCCCACCAAGGCGACGAUGCAUAGCCGGCCUGAGAGGGCGGACGGCCACAUUGGGACUGAGACACGGCCCAAACUCCUACGGGAGGCAGCAUG